UUAGGGACAGAUUGUCAAGGGGAAAAAAUCUAUAUUGUGGUUGCAAAGAGUAAUAAAAUGACACAAUUACACAUAAUCAAAUUUUCAGGUAUCUCUUUUUUAUCAGAAAAGAAAAAAAGAGAAGAUGAAAAAAAAGAAAGAAAAGAAGAGAAAGAAAGAGAAAUCAAGUCCUGUACAGCUUUCUAAACGAGAUCGGAACCGAGCAGAACUUCUUGAUUUCUUGAACUCUACUUUUUAGUGAAAAAGCUGUUAAAUGAGGACCAAUAAGUGUGUCAGCUUAUUCAGUCAUCUUGCUCCUUUAAAGCACCAAAUACAAGCUCAGGGUGAAGCAUGAAAAAACAUCUUGAUGCAUGAGGAGUUGAAAUUGUCCCACUAUGACGAUAAUUGACAACUCCUUUAAAAGGGUAAAAUAAUUGGUGACAUUUUAUCAACAAAGAGCCAUAUUGAAGUUGAAAAGAACCUAAUCACACUAGGACAAAGGCAUAAUCAUUCAUUAAAAUGAAAGGAUGCGUUGGAAUUUCAGCCUACUGUGAAUAUCCAAAUUGCAUGCAGAAUGCAACUUCACCAUCCGUUGUCCUUGGUCAUUUUAUUGAUUAAAGCCAAAUAAUAGCAGAGAAGUUCUUAAAGAAGAAUCAGACCCGUGUAUAUAGAUAUUUUUAGUAUUGAGAAUAUUUGCAAACAGCAACAUACCUCUUUCUGCGUAGUGUACAUUCUCUAAAGCAUUGAGUAGAUUUUUUAAAAUCAUUUUCUUUUGUAAAGUAUUUUCUUUUUAAAGUUAGUAAAAAAAAACACUAUAAUUUCAGUUUAUUUAAUGAGGUGCUAGGCAUUUAAUUUUGAAACUGGCGUGGUACAACUAUUAAAUGAACAUUAUGAAAUUAGCUUACUGCCCACUGCUGCUUGGUUUUUUCCUUAUUUUGGAUAGGAUGAUCCUUGAUCAGUAUUGUGGCCUUCAGAGAGGCAUGUAUCAAAGUCCAUAUUAUGAAAAUCUCAGUGGGCUACCAAUUUCAGUUGAGUGUAAUGGUAUGGCUAACAGAGUCCUCAAAAGACUGGUUGUGGCAUAUAACCUCACGGUGUGUGAAGUUCAUUUUAUGAAAAAAAAUCCAAUAAAACAUACUGCUUCCUAUAUAAAUUGUUUUAGUGAAGUAUUAACAAGUGUGAAGAAAGCAUUAGGAUUAGAAAGAUACUGUUGAGAACUACAACUACCACAUAAGUUCAUGAUGGUGAACUUAUGGCACACGUGCAACAGGUGGCACACGGAGCCCUCUCUGUAGGCAUGUGAGCCAUCGCCCAGCUCAGCUCCACUGUGCAUGUGCGAGCACCUCCCACCGGCCAGCUGAGUUUUGGGUCUCUGCUGUACAUGCUGCACGGGAGUGGGAGGAGCCAGGGGGUGCGGCAUGCUCCCCUGCACCCCCUUUUUGGUUUCAGGAGGCUUCAGGGAGGCCUGCCAGGCCCAAAACGGGUUGCGGGGAGGGGGGUGAGGCACCAGGGCGGAGUGCAUUGCAUUAUGGGUGUGGGUUUUUCUUUCCCCAAAGCCCUUAAUAAGAAAAAUGUCUAAUGACUUAACAGUUUGUCUUCAUUUUUGCAUUUUUUAAAUAUUACACCUUAGGUGACUUGUUUACCACAAGAACAUUUAAAACAGUAAACACCUUUACAAUUUAAAGCAAUUUAUUGAAAUAAUGUUAAAUAAGUAUUGUUUAAUUUAUCAAUAAUUAAAACAUAGUUAUUAUUCACUCUCCAAAUGGUCAUUGAAAGAGCUUUGUGGAGGUUUUAAAUAUAAUCAAGAUUGGGGACAUCUAGAUCUCAGGGUGGGGGAGAGAUAAUUCCACAGAUGGAAUAGUUACCAUAAACAUCUGCUUCUAAGUUCCUAUCCUCUAACUUUUUAAAGAGGGGGAUUCACAGCAUUUUUCUUAGAUUGCUUGAAUAGCAGAAGCAGAUUCUAUUUAUAGAGAUAGUUCAUUACACAACCUAAACCCAAACUACGCAUUGCUUUUUAGAUCAUUAGCAACUUCUUUAAUUUGAAUCAAGAGCAGUGCUUGUAAUAUUGGUGUUACAUUGUUGAAGGAGCUCUCACCUGAUUACUUAUUCCAAACAGUCUUUUGAUAGUGUUCAAAGUCAUGACUAAGAAGAGUGCAUUGUAGAAAUGCAGUAGUAAAGUACGGGGGUGAGCAAUUGGGUAAAGACCCAUCUUUUUUAUCCGUGUCACCCCAAAUCAAUGGAUGACUCUCUCCCCUGAAUGGUUUAAUAUAGAUAAUAAGAUAGGGAAAGGGGGGAGGAGAACUCUGAGCCCCAUAAAUCAGUGGCCAAGAGCUAAAUCACUUCCAAUUUCUAAUGCAGAAAAGUGCUUCCAACUCCCUCACAUGUAUGCCAGCCUGACCUCUUGAUUGCUGGUGUCAGAUGUUGCUGAGGGAUAUAAUAGAACCAGAAGAUAACACUGACCAAAUCCUGAUAGAGGUAAUUGAAAAACCAAUAUAGUUUCUUUCCCAUAACUGUUCUGAACUCUAAUUGAAAACAAGAGAAUGUAACUUUUCCAAGGCCCAUUGGAACUGCAGCCGCACAAUCUUCUCUAACACCAUCUCUAAAGUUGAAGGAGGAUGUUGAUUGCUUCAAGUCCUGCCAUUUACUCAUUUGUCUGCCUUAAGGAGCCAACGAAGGGCAUAGGUUAAGCCCAGAUGUAGAGAGCAUAUUCUGUUAAUCACGCCACUUUCUUAACACUCCACAAGAUCAGAAUUCCACGUAGACUUGCAGGAAGUUGUCCAAUUAAUUUCAUUUGAUUCUACUAAGCUGGGAAUAAGAUCUGAGCAAAUACAAAUUGAUCUGUGAAAUGUUUUGCAAACGUAACACAGCAAUAUUGUCAGGCCUGCAGCCAUGUUCCUUUUGGAUCUUUGGCCUGCCACACUUUCUAUGAUUCUACUCUGGUGUUUCUAUGGUGGGGAAUUCAGAGGGGGGAUAGUACAGAGUAAAAUGCUAUGUAGCCAGAAUAAAAUUCCUUUCUAGAAUGCCAA